AGCAAGACGUUAGGACAGAGAAAGCCAGAUCUUCCAGCACUAAUCUAAGUCAGAGCUGAAGACGCUUUGUGGCCACGAGGCAGUCCUGGGGUCCUUCACUUACAUCUUGCCGACUGAUGAAUGGCCCGGCCGAUGUGACAGAACCACCAG